AAUCUCGGGAAACUGAGAAUAACACCCCAUAGAUCUAGGAUGCUGGAAUGCACUUAGAUUGAAAACUUCAUAGCGCCUAAGGAUGAGUCUGCGGACUAUCAGGUAGUAGUCAGGGUAAUGACCUGACUAGCCUACGACGGAUACGGGUUGUGGGAGCAAUAACCCGGAGAUGAUAUCUGAGACACGAUAUCAGGCCCUACGGGGCGCAGCAGGCGCAAAAACUUCGCACUGUGCGAAAGCACGACGAGGGAAUCCCAAGUGCUGGCUCGUUAGAGUCAGCUGUUUUUCUGUCUAAAAAACAGAGAGAGUAAGGGCUGGGUAAGACGGGUGCCAGCCGCCGCGUUAAUACCUGCAGCCCAAGUGGUGGUCUGUAUUAUUGGGCCUAAAACGUCGGUAGCCGGUUCUGUAAAUGCCUGGUUAAAUCGUGUAGCUUAACUAUACAAAUUCCGGGUAGACUGCAGGACUUGAGAUCGGGAGAGCUAGAGGUACUCCGGGGUAGAGGUGAAAUUCUGUAAUCCUCGGGGGACCACGAGUGGCGAAGGCGUCUAGCUAGAACGAGUCUGACGGUCAGGGACGAAGCCCUGUGCGCAAACGGCAUUAGAUACCCCGGUAGUCCAGGGUGUAAACGCUGCUCGCUUGAUGUAAGCUGGCCUCUGAGCCAGCUAGUGUCGUGAGUAGUUGUUAAGCAGAGCUGCCUGGGAAGUACGGUCGCAUGACUGAAACUUAC
rnacentral:rRNA from 1 species